AAGAGAAUGAUUGACAGGUCUUGAGACAAAGAAUCUUUCCUGAUAUGGUUGAGUCAGAGUUCCAAGGAGCAGUUUGCAACUGACUCUCUGGAGCUGAAAGGUGUGUAGCUGAGACAUCCUGAUAAUCCAUGCAUCAAGCAACUGGCCUUUGAGGAUCAACUGGCUGUGGGCCUACAAGAAAAAGCAAAGGCUUAAGGGAAAGACUGAAAUUUCCAGAGUGUUCCCUCAUCACACACACCCCUUCACACAAGCCUGGCAGAGUUGGAAAGAAACUAAGAUUUCAAGGUUCAACCUCUAACUUUGUGGUACUUCAGCUUGCGAAUGGUGUCUCAUCGAAUGAGAUCCAGAGAGAAAGUAUAGAUUCCCUGAAGUAUAUGAAGAGUGGGAGAAGAGGAAAGCUGAUUAAUGAUACCUUUAAUCUCUACCUUUAUGAUGCAAAUCAAAAGUGGAGGAUGCGGGCAUCGAUCCCGCUACCUCUCGCAUGCUAAGCGAGCGCUCUACCAUCUGAGCUAAUCCCCCAGACUCUGACAUCAGACUCACACAUUGUGCUAAACAAGAAUCUAGAAACACUUAUAUGGGCAAAU
rnacentral:tRNA from 1 species